rnacentral:sRNA from 1 species
UCGAGGUAUCAUGUCAUAUCUGUGCCGGA